rnacentral:rRNA from 1 species
GUGAACGCUGGCGGUAGGCCUAACACAUGCAAGUCGCACGGCAGCACAGUAAGCGCUUGCUCUUACGGGUGGCGAGUGGCGGACGGGUGAGGAAUACAUCGGAAUCUACUUUUUCGUGGGGGAUAACGUAGGGAAACUUACGCUAAUACCGCAUACGACCUACGGGUGAAAGCAGGGGAUCUUCGGACCUUGCGCGAUUGAAUGAGCCGAUGUCGGAUUAGCUAGUUGGCGGGGUAAAGGCCCACCAAGGCGACGAUCCGUAGCUGGUCUGAGAGGAUGAUCAGCCACACUGGAACUGAGACACGGUCCAGACUCCUACGGGAGGCAGCAGUGGGGAAUAUUGGACAGUGGGCGCAAGCCUGAUCCAGCCAUACCGCGUGGGUGAAGAAGGCCUUCGGGUUGUAAAGCCCUUUUGUUGGGAAAGAAAAGCAGCAGGUUAAUACCCCGCUGUUCUGACGGUACCCAAAGAAUAAGCACCGGCUAACUUCGU